AAAAAAUUGCGUUGAUAACUCAAUUUUUCCACACCAAUGGAGUUCUGGAUUUCAAAGCUCCUCCCUCACUGAACGAUCAAGAGGCAUGUCCGGACAAGUUUUAAGCAGACCAUUUGGCACAAAGGAUACUUUAAGAAGCCGAAAACAUACUCCUCACUCAUUGCAUGACUUCAAGGCAGACAUAAUAAAAAGGUGUAUAGAAGAGGUUGUUAAAGAGUUAAAUUUUAUAUCUUGAUCAGCAUCUGGACCCAUCAUCAAAGUUAUUGCAGAUAAAAUGGGCAAGAAAUAAGGGAUAUCUUGGAGCGCUGGCCUGCAUUAUCAGAUGCAACACAGAUAAAUGAAGAAUUCAAGAGGAUAACCACUGUAGGUCUUGAAUCCACAUUUAUGGCCACACUUGACAAAUGCACCCAAAACUAAUGGACCUGGCCUCAUCCAGGGGAGGAGCUAAAGGGGAAAUAAUCGGAAGGAUUAAGGAUAUGCUUCUUGAGAACAAUGCAGUUGAAGUAUGGAGAGAAGUAGCCAUUCACUGUCUUGUUGUCUAUCUUGGAGAGAAAGAAGAGGAUCUUUUUAAGGAGUUUGCUAAUACACAAGAAUCAUUGGUGAUCUGUCAACUAUGGAAUUAAACCACAAGACGGGAACCAUCAUUGUUGAGGGAAUCAGAAUCCUGAUUGGAAUGGAUAUCUCAAGGUGUUGUGCUCUGCUAACGGGCAUAAUAUAUGCUCUGAAUCUGAGCUACCCCAAGGAGCUUAAAUAUACUUGUUAAGUGUUUCAGAAGCUGUUUCUUGAACUUGAUGGACUGAAGCCCAGUGCAAAAGUAAUGCGUCUCAAGAACAGCAUUUUCUGAAGCCUCUACUUAUUUCAAAGUACAUUUUGCUCUUUAUGUUGCAACUAUAUUGUUUUGUAUUUUGAAGUCCACAUGCUGAUCUUUUUAUUUCAUACUGUUUAUAUGAAUGGUGGCAUUUACAUAUGUUUGUUUAAAAUAAUACAAAUGUUACAUGUUUUACAAUUAAGGUUAGCUAAUAACAAGUAGUUUGUAAAAUGUACAAUUUAUAAGUUAAUAGUUAGCUUUAAGUGUAUCAAUGCCUAUAACUCUUGUUUUGUUGGAAUUCAUUGUGAUGGCAUAGCUAUGCAUGCAUGCACAUUUUUGAAGGCAAAGCUGACGGGUCAGUUUGUUUAUAAUUUGUGAGACAGUACACAUUUGUGUUUUGUAAACUUUGAGAAGUGCAAUAUUUAAAAU
rnacentral:lncRNA from 1 species